rnacentral:other from 1 species
UAUUUCCUGCGGCGUUUGAGAGUGUUCUGGGUGUUUCCUGAACCUAUAUUACCCUUGGGAACGCGUGUUCUCUUCUGGUGUGCAGGCUUAACACAGAUUAAGUAGCCCGAUUAACAGAUAGUGUUCCCCCCUGAACCUUUGGUUCAUGGACGAAAGAGCAUAGCGGCGCAGGUGGGAAAUAC